AUAAAGCAGCUCGAACUGCUAUUUAAAACAUACUUGAAUCUGGUUAAAAUUAAUGAAGUUUGGCGACACAAGAGUUGAUAUAUCUAAUAUGAGUUAAAAACUGAAGAAUAUAUCAUCAAGUUGAAUACGAGUAAAAAAGUGAAGAAUAUAUCAUCAAGUUGAACAUGACUUAAAAAGUGAAGAAUAUAUCAUCACAUUGCGGCCAAAAAUGUCCGGUAUUCCAUGGGAAAGCGAGGAAAGACAAAACUACAUUCGAGCAGACUACAUUGUCAGUGAUGUUGUCAGGAAGGAAUUGAGAAGUUUCUUUAUUCAGGAAUGGAACAAACGUUACCAGGCUUCUCUUGGAGCAUGGGAUGACACAAACGGUGAAAAGAUACAUGGUCUCAAGAAAACAUAUUGGACGAGAAUAAUGUUUUCAGGAAAAUUGAUGACAAUGAACUGAUGAACCGAAAUAUUUUAAUUAUACUAAAGAAAUCAAUAUCCAAUUAGCAUGUCGGUCAAGUCCUGAUCAUCUAUAACACUAUUAUAAUCACAUAUGAAUUUAUAAGCCUGUAUUGCUAUUCUAAACCUUCCUUGCCUUAGAUAUAACAGCAUGCAUGAGAACAAUAUUAGAACAACAUGUUUAUUCAACAAGAUUGGUUUUAAAUUAAGCGUUUGACGAUAUUAUAUAUCUUAAAGGAA
rnacentral:misc_RNA from 1 species